rnacentral:lncRNA from 1 species
UCCAGGCAGCAAACACACACUGCUGGCUCAUGUUAGGUUUUCCACCUGCCAGGAUCCCAGCAGGGCUACUCUCAAGGAGUUUUUGUAAGAUGACUUCUUUCACACCACCUAUGGCACCAGCAGCCUACCUGUUGCGUUUCAGCACCAGCUUCACCUUCCCAUAGCUGACGGUACACAGCUGCAAACAGAUAACAGCAGGCAUUAGGAAUACCCAGCAGAGUGAUUACAGGUUUGGGUGCAAUUUAGUUUCUUUAAGAACAUGCAGUAUCUUCAGUUAUUUGCAGUGCUGUUACGCUUAUGGAACAACCUCGAAGAGAAAUUUUGAGAACGCACCAACAUUUAUGGAGUUAUAUGCAACGGAACCAUAGAUAGAAUGGCCUGGGUUGAAAAGGGCCACAAAGAUCAUCGAGUUUCAACCCCCUGCUAUGCGCAGGGUCACCAACCACCAAACCAGGCUGCCCAGAGCCACAUCUGCUCUCUUACAACAUAAGGACAGAAUAGAGUAAGACAACAAAAACACUGAGUAAAAACAAAUGUAUAUAAAAAACAACAGCAGUAACGCAGAUGCAGCAGAUGAGAAGGUCAGAGGGCUUUGCGGUACAACACCACAGCCUUACCUUGAUGAACUGAAUGAUGCCCUCUGGCACACCGGUCUUGCUCAGUUUCUGCAGGUACUCUGUGAUAUCGCUGGUCUGCAAGCCCACGCUGACGGCGGCGUACAGGGAGUAAGCAGUCAGCUUGUACUCGUGGAUGUGGGUCGGUCUGCACACGGGCUCAGCAAUGGCAACCAAAAAAUCCUGUGCGUAUUUGUAAACUGGAGAAAAGGCUUCCAGGAAAAUAUGGCCAUCGGGAGCCACCCAGAGCGGCCGCGAGGCGUUGUCGGCCUUGAGCGGCAUCUGCAGCCGGUAGUCCUUGGCGCCGUACUCGUCCAGCUUGGCGCCGCUGUCCUCCACCUGCUUCCCCGCCGCCGAGGGCACGGCCUCCUGCGACUCCUUGCCGGGAGCGUCAUCCUCCUCCUCCUCCUCGUCCUCGUAGUGCCGCUUCUUGGACUUCUUCUUGUCCCGCUCCUUCCUGCCCAUGGCCGCCGCGCCCGACCGCUACCGGAGGGCGUUGCGUCA